GACGAACGCAGGCGGCGUGCUUAACACAUGCAAGUCGAACGGUAAGGCCCUUCGGGGUACACGAGUGGCGAACGGGUGAGUAACACGUGGGUGAUCUGCCCUGCACUUCGGGAUAAGCCUGGGAAACUGGGUCUAAUACCGGAUAGGACCACUGCCUGCAUGGGUGGUGGUGGAAAGCUUUUGCGGUGUGGGAUGGGCCCGCGGCCUAUCAGCUUGUUGGUGGGGUGAUGGCCUACCAAGGCGACGACGGGUAGCCGGCCUGAGAGGGUGACCGGCCACACUGGGACUGAGAUACGGCCCAGAGUCCUACGGGAGGCAGCAGUGGGGAAUAUUGCACAAUGGGCGCAAGCCUGAUGCAGCGACGCCGCGUGAGGGAUGACGGCCUUCGGGUUGUAAACCUCUUUCAGCACCGACGAAGCGCAAGUGACGGUAGGUGCAGAAGAAGGACCGGCCAACUACGUGCCAGCAGCCGCAGUAA
rnacentral:rRNA from 1 species